GACGAACGCUGGCGGCGUGCCUAAUACAUGCAAGUUGAGCGCUGAAGGUUGGUACUUGUACCGACUGGAUGAGCAGCGAACGGGUGAGUAACGCGUGGGGAAUCUGCCUUUGAGCGGGGGACAACAUUUGGAAACGAAUGCUAAUACCGCAUAAAAACUUUAAACACAAGUUUUAAGUUUGAAAGAUGCAAUUGCAUCACUCAAAGAUGAUCCCGCGUUGUAUUAGCUAGUUGGUGAGGUAAAGGCUCACCAAGGCGAUGAUACAUAGCCGACCUGAGAGGGUGAUCGGCCACAUUGGGACUGAGACACGGCCCAAACUCCUACGGGAGGCAGCAGUAGGGAAUCUUCGGCAAUGGACGAAAGUCUGACCGAGCAACGCCGCGUGAGUGAAGAAGGUUUCGGAUCGUAAAACUCUGUUGGUAGAGAAGAACGUUGGUGAGAGUGGAAAGCUCAUCAAGUGACGGUAACUACCCAGAAAGGGACGGCUAACUACGUG
rnacentral:rRNA from 1 species